UUUUGUCGAACUUAAGUGUCCACUUACCGUUGACCACGUGUUGAUCCUCCCUAACAAUUUGAAGUUUUUUGUGAUGUGUACUUAUGCAGCAUGGUUGUGUAGUAGUAUAUAGUUUCAGAUCGUUGAAGUUUCAUGAACGUAACUAUCCUACUCAUGAUCUUGAGCUUGCCACCAUUGUAUUUGCCCUGAAGAUAUGGUGUCAUUAU
rnacentral:lncRNA from 1 species